rnacentral:rRNA from 1 species
UACAGAGGGUGCGAGCGUUAAUCGGAAUUACUGGGCGUAAAGCGCACGUAGGUGGCGACGUAAGUCGGGUGUGAAAGCCCCGGGCUCAACCUGGGAAUUGCAUUCGAGACUGCAUUGCUGGAGUUCGGUAGGGGAGACUGGAAUUCCUGGUGUAGCGGUGAAAUGCGCAGAUAUCAGGAGGAACACCAAUGGCGAAGGCAGCACUCUGGGACGUGACUGACGCUGAGACGCGAAAGCGUGGGGAGCAAACAGG